UCUAGCUUGGGGCUUCCUGCAAGCUCAAUAUAGCUCAGCCAAGCCACGUGGACAGCAGCGGGCUGGGUGGAGGCCGGACCCGUCUGAGAGACGCCGGAGGAGGCAGCGCGGGAACAAUAUCACUGCCUCAAGAGAGGGAUCUGCGGGAACAGCUGGCGAGGCUAGGGAAGAACUCCCGAGAGGCUCGAAGCCCGUGGGGUCAACCCGAGGGACGAGGCGUUGGGCGUGCACCGAGAGGAUGUGGCUGGCGGUGCCCAGAAGAGCCCCAUUCAGGGUCGCAGUGGAGAGAGAGGGCGAUCAGGCAAAGCCACCGCUUUUUCUGAGGGCGUGGGACUCGAGGUGGGAUUUAGGUAGGCUUGGGGAGGGGCACCGCGGGGUUAGGGAUUGCGGUGUCUGUGCAGCCAGGACUGGGAGCCGCAGAGCAGGUCACUAUAAGCAUCCACAUCCCCGCCCUUCCCGUCUACUCCGCCGAGGGCCUUUCCUUUGCGGAUGGAUAGACAGCUUCGCAGACCAGCGCUAAGCAAAGGCUGAUAGUGGGAAUCAGAGUUAGAAAGGUCCCCAAGGCAGCCUGGGGAUGGGGAUUUGGUUUAGGUUAGGGUAGAAGUUUUUCUGUUUUAAUAGGGAAGUGAGGGUACGGAAUUUAACGUGUGUGGGUCGUAGAUCAUAAAUGGUGGAUUUAAAAGGCAUUUCUAAGAUCUGGUUUGUCAGUGGGUAUCCUCUCACUGGAACUAUCUCAUCUACAACUUUUCCGUGGAAUGUUAAGAGGAAAGACGGUGUGCGCAGGAGUCUCUCCGUUUUCAGUUCUGGAGACUUCUGGGGACAAGCCUUUGCAGUGGGGGAGGCCAGAGCUGCCUGGCUGUUUACUCACUAGAAUGAGGCUGUAAUGUUGGGGCGAAUUUGCGGCACUUCUCCAUUACGGUGUGAUCUUGGGCUCUUUGGGCCAUAUCCACUGUUUCCUAGGUUUGUGUUUCCACGUACUCCCUUGCAAAGGGCCCUGGUCCCAGCGUUCGUUUGCUUGGGUUGUUGUACUGAGCAAGUGGAUACAGGGCUCUUGAAACUGCCCUUGGCAUCUAAGAGCUCACUCAAUCCAAGCCAGCUUGUGGAAGGAGGAAGGAGUGGGUUUCAACUCUGCUUCUGGACUGCCUAGAUAGGGUUGGUACACUGUGUAAGUUCCGAGGAAGUAGAAGAGAAAUUGUUAAAAGGGAAGAAGUGGAGGACAAAGAAACAACAAACUACCAGAAAAGGAAGGAAAAGAACAGAAACCUCUAAGUUAUAAUUUGUGUGUGCGGGGUAAGGGAGAAGUAUUGCCAAGACUCUUCCAGUUAAACCUCACUGGGGUCUGAUCUGCCACUGGGCUGUCCCUCACCAGGAUAUGAGAGGAGGGGGUCUCCAAGGUGUUCUAUGACCUGUGCUGAGUAGUUUUCUCUGCUGUUCUAGGUUGGUUUGGGUUUCCAUGCUAGAAACGAGGUGAGGUCCUUGUCACUGGGCGCAUCUCUAUGAGCUGUGUUCUCUCUGAGAAGCUGUUCAAACUGCAGCGCCUGGCAUUCUUUUGUGUGUAUGUGAGAGGAAGGCAGAGAUCCCAUCCCCAUCGGCUACUGUCCUCCCUAGCACAACAUCUUGCAGCCCUAUCUAGUGUGAGCCACUUAGAUCCUUGGUCCCCACAGAUACAGUUUGGAGCAGGAACAUACUCACACUGUGGUGACUUUCAGUAGAAUACAAGUUAAAUGGUCACCUAACUGGACCUCAGGGUUAAAGAAAAGAGCCCUGUGGUUUGCAAGCCUGUAUCUGCUGCCCAUGUGCCUCUUGAUUUGAUGAGGCUUACUGUAGCUGAGGAACACUGUGCCUUGCUUCCCGCUGACUGGAGUCCUCUCCCUGUAGUCCAGAAGCUAGUAAGGGAGUGCUGGAUGAAUUAAUUGUAGUGUUCUGGCAAGGAGGCAGAGUGCAUAGGGAAUCACUUAGGGAGAUGGAAAAAUACUAUAUGAAUGGAAGGCUGCUAUUAUAAUCUAAUGGAUUCUGUAGAGGGAAGGUUAGAUUAGGCAAAUGAAUAGCCCCAGGUCAUCCAGCUGGUUACACUUAUAUUGCUGAGAGCCCACACCAGCUCUGUGUCCACCCCAGAGUCUUAGUGGGGUCUCUGGAUGACUCUGAAAAGGACUCUGGUGAGCUCUGAUGAGUGUAUAUAAACCGUCACCUUCCCUACAUAAAAUGAACCUACUUCUAGUAAGAAAAUGUAGGUGGAACUUUUAAAAAUCCACCUACUCCCUGCCUGUUAACAAAACACAUUCCUUUCUAGGUUUAACAGGGCAGGUCUCCAUAUCCUUCCCUGCCUUCCCUUCUGCUAUUUAUUUAUUUAUUUAUUUAUUUAUUCAUUCAUUCAUUCAUGCAUUCAUUCAUUCAGUGACAUUCCAUGCAAGCAGCACUUUUGACACACUGGACCAUAUUCAGAGGCAAGGGAAACAGGCUGAACGUCAGGGAAGGAUGUAUGCAUUUCUUUUUGUCACCCUGAUCAUGUCUCCCAACAUGCCCUGCUGGGAAACAACUGGAAGUAGUCAUUACUGGGAGUGCCUGCACAGCGGGUCUCCUGGGGAGCCCUGACAUGGAUUUAGUGCACACUGCUGCCUCCCCAUGAGUUCAGAGCACAGCAAAGCUAUCUUACUGAUGGCUGAGGAAAUUGAUUUUCUCUUUUUCCUUCCCCCUUUGUUGGCACAAGAGAGUGGAAAAGUAGUAAUGGGUUCCAACCCCACUGGGCAAUUGUAGAAAAGGGGAGGGUGAUGGGGCUUGUUGGAGUCUUGGAAAGGAGCCAACACCUGCUAUUCUGGGUUAUGGAUGGUGCUUUCUUGGGUCUCAGGGCUAUGAAGAAUUCCUGAAGUCUCCUUAGGAAAAGUGGUUCGCGUAGAAAUGUCCAAAGUAAUGUGACUUGGGAAGCUGGAAGAAGAACUACUUGUUGCUAUCAUAUUCUCUCUCUCUCUCUCUCUCUCUCUCUCUCUCUCUCUCUGUGUGUGUGUGUGUGUGUGUGUGUGUGUGUGUUGCAGUUUCUAAGGAGAUGGACAGAAACAUAUUCACACCUGAUAGAGAGGUCACUGAAAGUCCAAAGAAAUCAUUCCAUUCAAGUUUAGCUUAGUGAACUAACACAUUGAUGGGGUUACUUAAUCAGAGCCUGAGUGUUAGAAAGAUAGCAUCACUAGAGGUCCCUACAUAAUAUACAGACAGUUACUACACCAAAGACUCCUCUCUCCCAUGCAAUUGCUAACCUGCUUGUAAAAUCUCAGGCAAGUCCUAUACAUUUCUUAUGAGUUUAAUGAGCUUCCACCUUACCUCUUGAGGGAAUGUUUUCAAUAUGAAAUUACACAACACAUUAAAAACAGUUAUUCAACAGUGUGUGUGUGUGUUUGUGUGUGUGUGUAUGCGUGUGUAUGUGUGCUUGCUUGCUCUAGUGCAUAUGUGUGUAAAGUUUCCUCUUCUGGAAUAUACCUUAAUAUUUUGGGUGAGUUUUUGCCCCAGCCUCUAAUUCCACUGAAGCCAUAGAGAGUUAUUUUAGUCCUACUCUCUCAUUGUUGAUCUUCCAUCUUUGAGUUUGAUCAGGAGAGGAAUCCAAUUGACAGGCCCGUCCAGGGGUUAAUGGGGUCACCAGUCCAACCUGCAUAGGUUGCCAAGCAUCGAGUGUCCAUCACUGAGUAGACCAUGACGAGGAAGAGCCCUCUAGAUUUGGCACUUGGCAGAAUGUAGAGAAUAUAGCCUGUUAACCCCUUUCAAUCCUGAGACGUCUUAAGGGCUUUUGAGCCAGCUAGAUCUAUAUGAUCAACCUCAUUUCCAAACUCAGUGUCCAUCUAGGCACACUUUGGGUGUCAAUCAUGUGUGACUACCCUAAUUUGUCCUGAGAUGAGCUUUAACACUGGGUAGAAACACCAUAAUAAGGAGAUAAAUGGGCUUCUUAAGAAUAAAGUCUCGGCUGGAUCGCUGGCUCCAUUGUAGAACAUUUGACUAGGCUGUGUGAGGUCUGGAUUCCGUUUACAGUACUUU
rnacentral:lncRNA from 1 species